UUACCUACAAGGCAUCGGCGAGUUUGGGACUUAAGCAUUUGCUGCCUGAUCCUCCUUGCUUGGGCACUGCAUACCAACACCUUCCUUUCUACAGCUGCAAACCUUCCUUUACAUAUCUGGUUCUACUGUGCCAGGACAAAGAAUUGAUUCAAUGCCAGACUGUCUGGAGCCAGUAGAACUGAAGAAAAUGAUGACUACUAGGGAAUAGAUUUUAAUAUGUGUAAUAUGGUUUAGUUGACCACAAUUAUUAACAAUCAACAUAUCAUAGAAACAAUAUAUUGUUUUCCCUAA
rnacentral:lncRNA from 10 species